rnacentral:tmRNA from 1 species
GGGGGUGAAUGGUCUCGACUUCGGUCGGGUGACCAGGGGAAGCGAGCCGAGGAAGGCAACGAUGAGCUCGUUAACCACGCGUUGCAAACAACACAAGCGCCGCUAAUACGCAGCGCGACUUCGAACUCGCUGCCUGAUAGCAGCUAGUUCGGGUCUGUCAGCCCGGGUUUCGUCAUCGGCCCGGAUCCUGGCAUCAGCUAGAUGACUCACCGUGCGUGCCGGUCGCGGGCGUGCACGGGACACCGCACAGCGACUGGGCCCGUCACGUCGACUUGUCUGCGUGAUCGACGGGGUCGAGCAGAGGCAAGGCAGACUGCGCUCGGAGAAGCCCUGGUGAUGCGUCGAAGGACGCGGGUUCGAUUCCCGCCACCUCCACCC